AGCUCGAGUCUCAGGAUGGCUCACCCCAGGAAACACCGAUCCCGGAUGAGCCCCCAAAUGAAAGAUCCCCGAAGAGAGACCCUUAUUCACGUUUUGGGAAAUCGCGGACCCCGACACAGAGAGACCA
rnacentral:pre_miRNA from 14 species